rnacentral:piRNA from 1 species
UCCGUCGUUUUCAUAUAAAUA